AUGCAUAAGGAAGGGGGAAGAGAAUAGAUCCGAUAUACGUGAGCGUGUUCCUUCUCCUGUGCUGAUGAGAGUUGAAGGUUAAUUAGCAGUACGACUACAUAGUAAUGUUGCCAAGUCUCCCUCAGACAAAC
ensembl:snoRNA